AACGAACGCUGGCGGCAUGCCUAACACAUGCAAGUCGAACGAGACCUUCGGGUCUAGUGGCGCACGGGUGCGUAACGCGUGGGAACCUGCCCUUAGGUUCGGAAUAACUCCCCGAAAGGGGUGCUAAUACCGGAUAAUGUCUUCGGACCAAAGAUUUAUCGCCUUUGGGUGGGCCCGCGUUGGAUUAGCUUGUUGGUAGGGUAAAAGCCUACCAAGGCGACGAUCCAUAGCUGGUCUGAGAGGAUGAUCAGCCACACUGGGACUGAGACACGGCCCAGACUCCUACGGAAGGCAGCAGUGGGGAAUAAUGGACAAUGGGCGAAAGCCUGAUCCAGCAAUGCCGCGUGAGUGAUGAAGGCCUUAGGGUUGUAAAGCUCUUUUACCCGGGAUGAUAAUGACAGUACCGGGAGAAUAAGCUCCGGCUAACUCCGU
rnacentral:rRNA from 1 species